rnacentral:rRNA from 1 species
AACCUCAACUCAUGUGAGACUACCC